GGAGACACAGCUUAAAUGGUAGAGUGCCUGAUUAGCAAGAGAAGAGGACCUAGGUUCAAUCCCUAGUAUCUCCA
rnacentral:tRNA from 1 species